rnacentral:rRNA from 1 species
GAUGAACGCUGGCGGUGUGCCUAAUACAUGCAAGUCGAGCGAACAGACGAGGAGCUUACUCCUCUGACGUUAGCGGCGGACGGGUGAGUAACACGUGGAUAACCUACCUAUAAGACUGGGAUAACUUCGGGAAACCGGAGCUAAUACCGGAUAACAUGUUGAACCGCAUGGUUCAACAGUGAAAGACGGUCUUGCUGUCACUUAUAGAUGGAUCCGCGUCGCAUUAGCUAGUUGGUAAGGUAACGGCUUACCAAGGCAACGAUGCGUAGCCGACCUGAGAGGAGGAUCAGCCACACUGGAACUGAGACACGGUCCAGACUCCUACGGGAGGCAGCAGUGGGGAAUAUUGGACAAUGGGCGAAAGCCUGAUCCAGCAAUGCCGCGUGGGUGAAGAAGGUCUUCGGAUCGUAAAGCCCUUUUGUUAGGAAAGAAAAGAAGCAGGAUAAUACCUCGACGUCCUGACGGUACCCAAAGAAUAAGCACCGGCUAACUUCGUG